ensembl:lncRNA
GGGCAGGCUCUGCUCUUGGCUCUUUCACCACACAGCUCCACAAUAAACACCACACUGCUGCCCACACAACCAGCCACAAGUCAACAACCCCAAGACACUCCUGCCACCAGCCUCAAAACAAAAAACACACACCAAAGGCCACCUGAAGACAAAAGACACUGCCACACUACUGCCAACAGCCACACAAAGCCAGACAGCCCCCAAGAAAAACCACCACCAAACCCAACAACCAGCUCCACCUUCCACACUCAAACCGCCCAAGCCACUUUCUACCACCAGCCUCCUAACCAACAAAACAAAAUAGACAAGCACCACCACCAAGCCAGCCUGCCACAUCACCAACACAAACCUCUGACGCGCCAAAGCCAGCCAGCCACCUAAGCAAACACAAACCAAGCCCCAAGACAACACAGCACCCCAGGCCUACCCGCUGGCUCCGCUCCUCCUCCGCAUCGCAGCGCCUGGGAUCUCCCUCUUCCACGCAGGACUUCAGCCCCACCAGGACCCCUCACUCCAGCAUCAAAGGGCCACACUCCAUCAACUCCACUCCUCCGGGACAGGGCCUGCCACGCACCUUCCACCCUGUAAAAAAAGCACAGCGUCACCCACACAGCCACUGCCUCCGGCCCUAGGGCGCCACCCACCUCACAGGUAACAACAUACAGCUCACCUUGCUCUCCACAGAGGCACCCUGCUCACACCACCAGGAUCCUUCCUCCAGCCUGAACCUGCACAGAGACCUCCACAAACCACCUCCAAGGGGGCACGCCUGGGGGCAGCCCUCCGCCAUGAGGGCUCCCACCUGGGGCUCCCCCUCUCUCACCUCCUUCAUCCCACUGCUGGGGAAACCGCACACCUGCUCCAGCCAACCCUCUCGGCAAAGCUCUCCGCUGCAGCCCUCGCCCUGCAACAAGAGCACAGAUCACACAGCCAGACAGAAUGCCAAGGCCCCACUGCAAAGCACCCGCACGCAACUGCAAUGGGGCCCGGGGAACCGGACUCCGCUACCUCCCCGGGCACCCUCUCCCAUCCCGCUCACAGGGAAAUCAUUCUUCUUCCUCCUGAAUGAGAAAUUCUGGUGAUACCAAACAUGCACACUGCCCCCCUACUGCCACACGCCACUCAUCCCCGUCAACUCGGCUCCUGCGCAGCACGCAUUGCUAUCUGCCACCCUCCUCUCCUCUCACUGCACAAUCAAGACAACGCACAAAGCUACCUUUUGGUCCGGCAUGACUUCCCCUCUGUCCAUCCACCUGGACUGCUCCUUGCAAAUUCCUUCUCUUCCGGUCACAUGGCAAUGACACCUGCAACAAGCUGUUACGUCACCUCCCCAGGAACAGAGGUGAGGCCAACCUACCUCCAAGUUGCACACGCCAUCCUCCACACCCUUUCUGAAGGCUGCGGUGGCAUCCGCCACCCUCCAGUCUUCAGGUACCUUUCCCCACAGGAAACAGCAGGGAAAAGUGACAGAGAGCACCAUUUGCCGGUCACCGCUGCCAGCUCUCAGCGGGCACAGGCAUAGCCCUCUACAGCUCAGGCAUUUGCUGGCCUCCUUUCUGCCUGAACCACUUUUGACCAGCUCCUCUGCAACUGAGGGGAAGGCAACCUUCCUCUGAGACUCUCUCCUCCAGGACCCCAGGUUGCCCAGGAGCACUCUCAGCAGAGACCACUGAAACCAAAACAGGCAUCCAACACAUCCUCCAUUACUCAGGCCCUUGCCUUGUGAAGCACAGGCCUGCAAUUUCUCCAGUCUCUCCUGUUGACAAACUUCCAUUAGCCUUGACCUCCCUCCCAAAGCUGAUACUCACAGGGACUUGGCCUUCCUCAGCCUCUCUCUUCCUUCUCCCCUUCAAGUUCCUCAGUCAGCCCUGCAGGUCCCCCACCAUUCCUGCGCACUUCCUUCCUCCUUGGGACGCAGCGCACCUCAGCAUGGACGAAGUAAUGCUCCAGCAUUCACAGGACCCCUUCCUAUGCUUGAGCAAGGGUUACCUCCAAGUAGGCCCUUCAAGAGGACAAACCUGGCUCCCUCUAAGUCCAGUGUUUCAAUCCUACUCAUUGCUUUGCAGCUUCCACACAAGAUCCCAAACGCUGUGGUCUCACGACUGGCACGCUCCAGGCUGCCCCUGGCCUUCCUGUCCCCAGAUGGCUCUUCUGCAAUAGGGAGCUCCUCAAUGCCUCCUUCGUCACCUGUGUCAGAAGAUCUUACCUUUGACACAUUGCAGGAAACUCCUGGAGCCUACCAUGAGAACUAGCCUCACAGCUGUGGGCACCAUUUCCAGCUGUGUGCAGAAGGUCUAUCAGCUUCCUCACCCUGGUCUGUGACCAACACCCCCACUCAGGUCACCCACUUUUACCUGCCUCUUCAGCCUCACGCACAAACGCUCCGCUGGUUCUUCAGUCAUCCCUAGGUGGAGCUCGAUACGUUCCCGUUCUCUCCCUCGAAAAGAGACUCCACCGCCUGACCGGUCUGCCUUUCCUAAAAGGAACAGAGCCAUCCACGACAGCACUUCAGUCGUGCGAGCUGCCCUGCCAGGUCUCCACGGUGGGAACCUAAAUCGUGCUCCUGCAGUUACACGGGAAGGAAGAGGCGGGGAAAAAAAAAAAAAUAAAACCACGGUCCCAACCUGCUCGCUCCCACCGCUGGAAACGGGAUGGGUGAGAGCACCCGCAAAACACUCCGCAGUGGCCGAGGCCACCCCGGGAUCGUGCUCGGUCUCGGGCGGAGGCCCCGUGCCGGUCCUACUAAAAAGCCACGCGGGAGCCCCCAGCGGCGGCGCCGUGCCGAUCCCAAAGACACGGAGGCAGUCGGGCAGCAACCCUACAGGAGCCCCAGCAGGGGAGAUCUUACCGAGCGACUCUCAAACACUCACCGCUUCCACGAGCUCACUGCUUCGGGCCGAUGAGAGGCUCUGCUACAGCCCUCGCUCAGCCUGCAACACGAGAAACCUUUUGUUUCAGCAGCCCUUGGCCUCGCUUCUCUCUCCCGGCAGCACAGAGGCUGCACGAAUACGGCCCCAUCGCGUUCGCUCCUACCGAGGAGAGCCUGAAGAACUGAAGCACCCGCUGAAAGAAAUCCCGAGGGUGAGGGGGGCUGAGAGCACCCCGGGGCUGUGCGAGGACUCGGGGGUCGGAGCGGCAGCCGCCUCCGAAAACGCGACGGCAGCCGGGCGGCGGCGGCGGCGCCGUAUCGGCUCCGCACAGCCGGGGGAGCCCGGCGGCGACCUAACGCCGGCCCCGAGAAGAGCGGGGUCCGACAGCCGCCUGCUCCGGAGAUCCUGGCGGCUCCUGAGCGCUCACCGUCCCCUUACUACCCGAACCGCUCACCUGUUUGGGCUGGUCCUUACCGCAAAAGGGCUCACAGCAGCCUGAAACAAAACGACACCACGAGAACAUUAAAAAGAACCUGAAGGCGCCGUCCCCCCCCCCCCCCCCAAAAAAAAAAACCCGCGUACCGCUUCUCAGCCUCAGCAGCACCAGG